rnacentral:rRNA from 1 species
GAUGAACGCUGGCGGCGUGCCUAAUACAUGCAAGUCGAGCGAACAGACGCUGAUCUUGCUCCUCUGGCGUUAGCAGCGGACGGGUGACUAACACGUGGAUAACCUACCUCUAAGACUGAGAUAACUUCGGCAAACCGGAGCUCCUACCGGAUAAUAUCUUUAACCGCAUGGUUCAAUAGUUAAAGACGGUUUUGCUGUCACUUCUACAUAGCUCCGCGCCGCAGUAGUUAUUUGGUAAGGUAACGGCUUACCAAGGCAACGAUGCGUAGCCGACCUGAGAGGGUGAUCGGCCACACGAGAACUGAGACACGGACCAGACUCCUAAGAGAGGCAGCAGUAGGGAAUCUUGCGCAAUGGGCGAAAGCCUGACGGAGCAACGCCGCGUGAGUGAUGAAGGUCUUCGGAUCGUAAAACUCUGUUAUGAGGGAAGAACAAAUGUGUAAGUAACUAUGCACGUCUUGACGGUACCUAAUCAGAAAGCCACGGCUAACUACGUG